ensembl:snRNA U6 U6 spliceosomal RNA
GUGCUCGCUUCAGCAGCACACAUACUGAAAUUGGAUUUAGAGAAGACUAGCAUGGCCCCUGUGCAAGGGUGGCAUGCAAAUUCAUGAAGUGUAAAUAAGAAAA